AUUAAACUGAGAUGUGCGUAGUGGCAGACCACAUUUUUAACCGCAAACGUUAUUAAAGGGAUUUCGCGUCCAUUUGUUUGAUGUCAUGCCCCCCGUAAAAGGCUAGGGGAAGAUUGAUAAACAAGGCAGAUUGCCCACCUGCAUCCGCGGGUUUUAACAAUUCUGUUACUACGGCAUAUUCGGUGUCGGG
rnacentral:other from 1 species